rnacentral:rRNA from 1 species
GAUGCACGUUGGCGGCAGGCCUAACACAUGCAAGUCGAGGGAGAAGCAGUUUUCGGACUGUGGAGACCGGCGGACGGGUGAGUAAUACAUGGAGAUCUGCCUUACACUGGGGGAUAACUACUGGAAACAGUAGCUAAUACCGCAUACGCCAUAUUGGGAAAGCUCCGGCGGUGUAAGAUGAGUCCAUGCCUGAUUAGCUAGUUGGUAGGGUAAGAGCCUACCAAGGCGACGAUCAGUAGCUGGUUUGAGAGGAUGAUCAGCCACACUGGGACUGAGACACGGCCCAGACUCCUACGGGAGGCAGCAGUGAGGAAUAUUGGACAAUGGGCGCAAGCCUGAUCCAGCCAUGCCGCGUGAGUGAUGACGGCCUUCGGGUUGUAAAGCUCUUUCAGCAGGGAGGAAAAUGACGUUACCUGCAGAAGAAGUCCCGGCUAACUCCGUG